rnacentral:antisense_RNA from 1 species
UGUCGCGGCAGCUGUACGCGGGAUACCUUCGGGUAUGCCGGUUUUGCUCCUUUUGACCGGUCGGUCAACCCGCGUAUUGCUGCCACCCUC